AGGUUAAUGAGGCGAACCGGGGGAACUGAAACAUCUAAGUACCCCGAGGAAAAGAAAUCAACCGAGAUUCCCCCAGUAGCGGCGAGCGAACGGGGAGGAGCCCAGAGCCUGAAUCAGUGUGUGUGUUAGUGGAAGCGUCUGGAAAGGCGCGCGAUACAGGGUGACAGCCCCGUACACAAAAAUGCACAUGCUGUGAGCUCGAUGAGUAGGGCGGGACACGUGGUAUCCUGUCUGAAUAUGGGGGGACCAUCCUCCAAGGCUAAAUACUCCUGACUGACCGAUAGUGAACCAGUACCGUGAGGGAAAGGCGAAAAGAACCCCGGCGAGGGGAGUGAAAAAGAACCUGAAACCGUGUACGUACAAGCAGUGGGAGCACAGAGCAAUCUGUGUGACUGCGUACCUUUUGUAUAAUGGGUCAGCGACUUAUAUUCUGUAGCAAGGUUAACCGAAUAGGGGAGCCGAAGGGAAACCGAGUCUUAACUGGGCGUUAAGUUGCAGGGUAUAGACCCGAAACCCGGUGAUCUAGCCAUGGGCAGGUUGAAGGUUGGGUAACACUAACUGGAGGACCGAACCGACUAAUGUUGAAAAAUUAGCGGAUGACUUGUGGCUGGGGGUGAAAGGCCAAUCAAACCGGGAGAUAGCUGGUUCUCCCCGAAAGCUAUUUAGGUAGCGCCUCGUGAAUUCAUCUCCGGGGGUAGAGCACUGUUUCGGCAAGGGGGUCAUCCCGACUUACCAACCCGAUGCAAACUGCGAAUACCGGAGAAUGUUAUCACGGGAGACACACGGCGGGUGCUAACGUCCGUCGUGAAGAGGGAAACAACCCAGACCGCCAGCUAAGGUCCCAAAGUCAUGGUUAAGUGGGAAACGAUGUGGGAAGGCCCAGACAGCCAGGAUGUUGGCUUAGAAGCAGCCAUCAUUUAAAGAAAGCGUAAUAGCUCACUGGUCGAGUCGGCCUGCGCGGAAGAUGUAACGGGGCUAAACCAUGCACCGAAGCUGCGGCAGCGACACUGUGUGUUGUUGGGUAGGGGAGCGUUCUGUAAGCCUGUGAAGGUGUGCUGUGAGGCAUGCUGGAGGUAUCAGAAGUGCGAAUGCUGACAUAAGUAACGAUAAAGCGGGUGAAAAGCCCGCUCGCCGGAAGACCAAGGGUUCCUGUCCAACGUUAAUCGGGGCAGGGUGAGUCGACCCCUAAGGCGAGGCCGAAAGGCGUAGUCGAUGGGAAACAGGUUAAUAUUCCUGUACUUGGUGUUACUGCGAAGGGGGGACGGAGAAGGCUAUGUUGGCCGGGCGACGGUUGUCCCGGUUUAAGCGUGUAGGCUGGUUUUCCAGGCAAAUCCGGAAAAUCAAGGCUGAGGCGUGAUGACGAGGCACUACGGUGCUGAAGCAACAAAUGCCCUGCUUCCAGGAAAAGCCUCUAAGCAUCAGGUAACAUCAAAUCGUACCCCAAACCGACACAGGUGGUCAGGUAGAGAAUACCAAGGCGCUUGAGAGAACUCGGGUGAAGGAACUAGGCAAAAUGGUGCCGUAACUUCGGGAGAAGGCACGCUGAUAUGUAGGUGAAGUCCCUCGCGGAUGGAGCUGAAAUCAGUCGAAGAUACCAGCUGGCUGCAACUGUUUAUUAAAAACACAGCACUGUGCAAACACGAAAGUGGACGUAUACGGUGUGACGCCUGCCCGGUGCCGGAAGGUUAAUUGAUGGGGUCAGCGCAAGCGAAGCUCUUGAUCGAAGCCCCGGUAAACGGCGGCCGUAACUAUAACGGUCCUAAGGUAGCGAAAUUCCUUGUCGGGUAAGUUCCGACCUGCACGAAUGGCGUAAUGAUGGCCAGGCUGUCUCCACCCGAGACUCAGUGAAAUUGAACUCGCUGUGAAGAUGCAGUGUACCCGCGGCAAGACGGAAAGACCCCGUGAACCUUUACUAUAGCUUGACACUGAACAUUGAGCCUUGAUGUGUAGGAUAGGUGGGAGGCUUUGAAGUGUGGACGCCAGUCUGCAUGGAGCCGACCUUGAAAUACCACCCUUUAAUGUUUGAUGUUCUAACGUGGACCCGUGAUCCGGGUUGCGGACAGUGUCUGGUGGGUAGUUUGACUGGGGCGGUCUCCUCCUAAAGAGUAACGGAGGAGCACGAAGGUUGGCUAAUCCUGGUCGGACAUCAGGAGGUUAGUGCAAUGGCAUAAGCCAGCUUGACUGCGAGCGUGACGGCGCGAGCAGGUGCGAAAGCAGGUCAUAGUGAUCCGGUGGUUCUGAAUGGAAGGGCCAUCGCUCAACGGAUAAAAGGUACUCCGGGGAUAACAGGCUGAUACCGCCCAAGAGUUCAUAUCGACGGCGGUGUUUGGCACCUCGAUGUCGGCUCAUCACAUCCUGGGGCUGAAGUAGGUCCCAAGGGUAUGGCUGUUCGCCAUUUAAAGUGGUACGCGAGCUGGGUUUAGAACGUCGUGAGACAGUUCGGUCCCUAUCUGCCGUGGGCGCUGGAGAACUGAGGGGGGCUGCUCCUAGUACGAGAGGACCGGAGUGGACGCAUCACUGGUGUUCGGGUUGUCAUGCCAAUGGCACUGCCCGGUAGCUAAAUGCGGAAGAGAUAAGUGCUGAAAGCAUCUAAGCACGAAACUUGCCCCGAGAUGAGUUCUCCCUGACCCUUUAAGGGUCCUGAAGGAACGUUGAAGACGACGACGUUGAUAGGCCGGGUGUGUAAGCGCAGCGAUGCGUUGAGCUAACCGGUACUAAUGAACCGUGAGGCUUAACCUUACAACGCCGAAGGUGUUU
rnacentral:rRNA from 1 species